UGACAUUCCGUCAAGACAUCUAAUUCUAUACCAUUAUAAAGGCCACACUGAUUCAUAACUAUGAUCUAUUGGACCUGUAUCCUUGUUGGUGUUGUUAAGCCCUCUUGUGAGGGUGGGGCAAGACAAGUAGCCAUGGAAAGCCCAACGCUGGGGCAAAAGAUGUCUUUGAGGAAGGAAUCAAGCACCACACUCCGCAUGGAGCAAACCUUCAGGAAACCGAGACCUCUUGAUUUCUGAUUACUUGAAAUUCUAGGGCUACCAUCAGCCUAAACUCUUGAAGCCUAGCUGAGCCUGAUAAAGACUAGCUUUAGACUAACGCGAAAUUUUGACCCCAAAACUAACGCAGUGGAUGCACAAGACCUUAAGAGCCAUGCUGUUCCGAGAGCACUCCUGCAGCUCAACAGAGAAGCUCAGGCAUGCUCCCGCCUCGCCGGGGGGCUCACCACCUCUCUGAGCUUCUACCCUCUGUUCUAGAAACACUCCAGGAUUUCAUGCUUGCCCUCCUUGCUUCCAUCAAUGUGUUCCUGCUCUUUGUUACAUGCUGGGAAGAUACGUUCUCUUUUUUUGAACACUGAAGUUGGAGCCAAUUUUUUCAGUGCUAUUCUUCAUUCAACAAGUAUUAACUGAAGGCCUACCGUGGCUGUGCAGUCUUCUAGGUCCAGGGAUACGGCAGCAAGCAAGAUGGAAGUGAAUGCCGGUGGGAGCGACGAGAAGGUCCAUCUUCACGUAAUUAAAAGGAGAUGUAAGUGAAGGCCUCCUCCCCAUUCUCACUUUUUACACAAACUAUUCUAGAGAACAGCAUGAUCAAGAGGAGGGUGGUUCCAGCUACCGCCUCAGCCCCAAGCUGCUUGCCAAGAGUUACAAACUUCAUGUCACUCAGUAUCAGAACACAACAUGGUGCACAGUCGGCGGUAACUGCUCAGAGUGGAAUGAAGGAGCUGUUGGUGUCACCCAUGCACAGGUGAGGGGACGGAGCCUGGAGGGCAAGGGCCAGCCUGAGGAGGGCUGUCAGCAGUGGGCGGAGCUGUGAACUCUGCUUGCUUACUACUACCUCCCAAAGGUGAGGCCAAAAACAGCCCAACAGCCCAAAAGCAGCCAGGUCUGACACUUAACAAUCCUGUCAGAUUCUGAAGGCCUUGGCUCUCCAUUUUAG
rnacentral:lncRNA from 1 species